UACGGGGGGGGGCAAGCGUUGUUCGGAAUUACUGGGCGUAAAGGGCGCGUAGGCGGUUCGCUAAGUUGGAUGUGAAAACUCUGGGCUUAACCCAGAGCCUGCAUCCAAAACUGGCAAACUUGAGUACUGGAGGGGAAAGCGGAAUUCCUGGUGUAGCGGUGAAAUGCGUAGAUAUCAGGAGGAACACCGGUGGCGAAGGCGGCUUUCUGGACAGUAACUGACGCUGAGGCGCGAAAGCUAGGGGAGCAAACAGG
rnacentral:rRNA from 1 species